CAAUAGCGUAUAUUAAAGUUGUUGCAGUUAGAACGCUCGUAGUCGGAUUUCGGGGCGGGCCGACCGGUCUGCCGAUGGGUACGCACUGGUCGGCGCGUCCUUCCUUCCGGAGACCGUGCCUACUCUUAACUGAGCGGGGGCGGGAGACGGAUCGUUUACUUUGUAAAAAUCAGAGUGUUUCAAGCAGGCAGCUCGCUCUUGCAUGGAUUAGCAUGGGAUAAUGAAAUAGGACUUUGGUGCUAUUUUGUUGGUUUCGAACACCGAAGUAAUGAUUAACAGGGACAGUCAGGGGCACUCGUAUUCCGCCGAGAGAGGUGAAAUUCUCAGACCAGCGGAAGACGAACUACUGCGAAAGCAUUUGCCAGGGAUGUUUUCACUGA
rnacentral:rRNA from 1 species